rnacentral:rRNA from 1 species
AUUGAACGCUGGCGGCAGGCCUAACACAUGCAAGUCGAACGAGUGGCGGACGGGUGAGUAAUGUCUGGUCAACUGCCUGAUGGAGGGGGAUAACUACUGGAAACGGUAGCUAAUACCGCAUACCAUCGGAUGUGCCCAGAUGGGAUUAGCUAGUAGGUGGGGUAACGGCUCACCUAGGCGACGAUCCCUAGCUGGUCUGAGAGGAUGACCAGCCACACUGGAACUGAGACACGGUCCAGACUCCUACGGGAGGCAGCAGUGGGGAAUAUUCAGCAAUGGGCGAAAGCCUGAUGGAGCCAAGCCGCGUGUAUGAAGAAGGCCUUCGGGUUGUAAAGUACUUUCAGCGGGGAGGCGUUACCCGCAGAAGAAGCACCGGCUAACUCCGUGCCAGCAGCCGCGGUAAUUC